CUCACAGAGUGUCCUGACUUGGUUUUCCGUUAGCUGCUUACACUCGUUUAGCUGUUCGAUCCAUUGGUCUAAUUCUUUAGUGAA